rnacentral:tRNA from 1 species
UGGCUCAGAGGUUAAAGCGUCUGCCUCCAAUGCAGGAGACCCAGGUUCGAUCCCUGG